rnacentral:rRNA from 1 species
UACGUAGGGUGCGAGCGUUGUCCGGAAUUAUCGGGCGUAAAGGGCUCGUAGGCGGUUUGUCGCGUCGGGAGUGAAAUCCACUGGCUUAACUGGUGGCUUGCUUUCGAUACGGGCAGACUGGAGGUAUGCAGGGGAGAACGGAAUUCCUGGUGUAGCGGUGAAAUGCGCAGAUAUCAGGAGGAACACCGGUGGCGAAGGCGGUUCUCUGGGCAUGUCCUGACGCUGAGGAGCGAAAGUGUGGGGAGCGAACAGG